UACGGAGGAUGCGAGCGUUAUCCGGAUUUAUUGGGUUUAAAGGGUGCGUAGGCGGCCGAGUAAGUCAGCGGUGAAAUUUUGCAGCUUAACUGUAACAGUGCCGUUGAUACUGCAUGGCUAGGAUUUGGUUGCUGUGGGUGGAAUGUGUGGUGUAGCGGUGAAAUGCUUAGAUAUCACACAGAAUAUCAAUUGCGAAGGCAGCUCACAAAGCCAAGAUUGACGCUGAGGCACGAAAGUGUGGGGAUCGAA
rnacentral:rRNA from 1 species